GGUCACACCCGUUCCCAUACCGAACACGGAAGUUAAGCUCUCUAGCGCCGAUGGUAGUUGGGACCUUGUCCCUGUGAGAGUAGGACGUCGC
rnacentral:rRNA from 2 species